GUGGGUGUAGCUCAGUUGGCAGAGCACUUGGUUGUGAUCCAAGAUGUCGCGGGUUCAAGUCCCGUCACUCACC
rnacentral:tRNA from 1 species